UGAGCUGCCUCUAUAAAAGAUGAUACUGCCAGGAAAAUGCACCUCCUGGAGCCUGACAGCUGAAAAUGUGAGCUGAAAACGCACCUGCUGGAGUCUGACAGGGUCGGGCUGGUUACUGAAGACUCAUCAGAAAGAAGCAAUUCAUCUCACCAACUGCAGCUCUGAGACAAUCCUUGUGUGAUUCUGCCAGUAUGAUCAUGUCCCAGAAGCGUCUGGUGAAUUUCAUCAGCUGAAAAUGUGUGAGCUGCCUUUUUAAAAGAUGAUACUGCCAGGAAAAUGCACCUGCUGGAGUCUGACAGAUGCUGUGGACACUGUCUGAAGAUGGACGUCGGAUGGAUGUUUGUAGAUGUUAAAACUGAUUUUAAAGACUAUAUUGCCAGCACAGUCUGACAUUAAUAAAUGAAUUAAAUGAUCAA